CCGAUGCUUAUUCUUCAGGUACACGUCAUUGAUUCCUCCCUGAAAAAGAGGUUUACAACCCAUAGGCAGUCAUCCCUCACGCGAGAUUGCUCCGUCAGGCUUUCGCCCAUUGCGGAAAAUUCCCCCA
rnacentral:rRNA from 1 species